GGACUCAAAGGGUUCUCUCUGGGGUUUUAUAAGCAAUAACUGAUUGCUGACAGAGAGGAAAAUUCUCUGGUGGAGCUGCCUGCCAUCUGUGUAGAGAACUCCAGGGAUUCAGCUUCCCCAAGUCAUCACCUCUGUUGGACAGCAUGGGUGGCUUUGUUAGUGAUGUAGCUAGCUCACUAUGUUAACCAUGUUCUUGCCACCUCAAUAAACAUUCUCCCCUUCGCUGGGCUUGAAAUCACUUAGGAGGUACAGCUCUGGGUGUGUUUGGGAGUUUUGAGAUAACCUUAAAUAAAAAGGAAGAGCCACCUGCAUGUGAUGGCUGAAACUGGAGGCCCAGCUUAGGCAGAAGCAAAAAGAAAAGCCACUGAUGCACCAUCUCCUUUUCUCUCACCAUCCCCUAUCCUGGAGAAAAUGAAGUCUUUUUACAUCUCUCCAGGAAACAGAGCAACAAACACCCCACUCAUCACUUGCUGUAACCAUCCUUCUGGACUUCUGGUCUGGGCUCGAGCACUGAGUGGAUCACCGAUGGCAGCACCCAACCUCACAAAAUCCAGAUGAAGCAGGGCUACCAGGAGCUCUAAC